rnacentral:rRNA from 1 species
AUUGAACGCUGGCGGCACGCCUAACACAUGCAAAUCGAGCGGUAACAUGCUUAGUAGCAAUACUAAGUGAUGACGAGCGGCGGACGGGUGAGGAACACGUAGGAACCUGCCCAAAAGUGGGGGAUAACUAAGGGAAACUUUAGCUAAUACCGCAUAAUUCUCUGAGGAGAAAAGUUGCCCGUAAGGGUAGCGCUUUUGGAGGGGUCUGCGUCCGAUUAGUUAGUUGGUGAGGUAAUGGCUCACCAAGACUGUGAUCGGUAACAGGUCUGAGAGGACGACCAGUCACACUGGGACUGAGACACGGCCCAGACUCCUACGGGAGGCAGCAGUGGGGAAUCUUGGACAAUGGGGGCAACCCUGAUCCAGCGAUGCCGCGUGGGUGAAGAAGGCCUUCGGGUUGUAAAGCCCUUUAGGCUGGGAAGAAGAGUGUGGGAUGAAUAAUCCUGUACUUUGACGGUACCAGCAGAAUAAGCACCGGCAAACUCUGUGCCAGCAGCCGCCGUAA